AUGGGGCUCUCUGGGGACUCUAUCCCGCUCUCCCUUAGGGGUUUCUAUCGUUCUUGGUCUUGGUUUCUUCUGUCAUUAAGCCUGAACCGUUUCUGGCCUUGCUAUUUUGUAUACCCGCCUUUUGGGAAACACAGCCGUACUGCUGGACUAAUCCAAACACUUCCGUGUGGCUACCUCAGGUGUCCCCAAGAGAGACACAGAGAAGGCCUCAGUGAGCCAGGGGCCCACAGAACAGCCGGGCAGGUGUUCCAGCCCAUGGGAAUGUGUCGCAGGGAGGCAAAGGCAGAAACCACAGUGCCUGGGAUGUUCUAGGCUGCCAGCUACCAGUAGAGGAGAAGCGACAAGUCACAAAACUCUUUAAUGCCAAAAAGAGAGAGAACGGGGCGGGGUGGUGGUUGGGGGAUGGAGCACAGCUGAGAGGCCAUCCAGCAGAAUCUCUGUUACGUUAGAUGGGGAAAGCAAAGCACAGAGAGGGCAGGCUCUAGGCCCAACAGCACACGGCAAGAUUCCUCCCUGCCUCUUUUCAUUUCCUGCCCCCUCUCAUCCUCAUCUUCCUUCUGAUGCUUGAGUGGGUCACCUGGGGUCAUGCCUCAGGACCUUUAUAGUUUCCGUUAUUUCUGCCCAGAAUGCUCUGCUCCCAGAUCUACUUGCCAAUCAGAUCUCAGCACAAAUGUCCCCUCAAGAGGGACCUUUCCUGACCAUUAUAACCGAAGUAGCUCACACCCAACCCUUAUUUUCAUCUCCACUGAGUUUUUUUUUUCUUUUCCUUGCAGCAAUUAUGAUUUUAGAAAAUAUUUAUUUACCUGUGUAUUGGCUGUUACCCCUGUGCGGUACCCUCAGCCCCUCAAAUAGUGCCUGACAUACAGAAGGUGCUUAGUAAAUAUUUAAUUCAUUAAUCAGUGGCAGAACUAGGGCUGGGAUUUAGGUCGUCAGCCUCUUGCCCCGAGGCAGGGAAAAGGUGGGAGAUGGAGGAGGAACAAGCAUCUCCUAGGAGAGGAGACACCUGUCGGAGGUCAGGGGCCCGGCAGCCAGCACGGCCCCCGAGGCAGGGAAAAGGUGGGAGAUGGAGGAGGAACAAGCAUCUCCUAGGAGAGGAGACACCUGUCGGAGGUCAGGGGGCCCGGGCAGCCAGCACGGCUUUGCCAUGUCAUUCUGGGUGACCGGAGCCAGUGCCUUGUGUUCCCACCCGUGAAAUGAAAGGGCUGGAGAAUGAGCAUAAACACUUUCGAGACCCUAUUUCCUUUGACAGCUGAAGAUAAGCGUAACCAGUCUGAGGGGCAGGUAGCUAAGGGGUGGUACCCCCAGGUCUCACUAGAAUUCCCACCACUGGCACAAUUUGUCCCAUCGAAGUUGAGGUAGCCCAGAUAGGGGGAAGCACUUCGCACUAUACUGAAUGGCUCCAGGCACUGUCCUCAAAGCUCUUUCGGCCUUAGGAAAAUGUUCCUCAUCCAUCUCUGUGAUACCCAGCACAACACUGUCUCCCCACUUCAACUGCAGUUCAAGCCUCUGCAUCAAGCCUGCAUGCCAUGGGCAGAAACAGGAACACACAGAACAGCUAGUCCAGUAGAAACAGAACAUCAGCCACAUGUUUCGUCACUCAGUUGUGUCUGACUCUGCAACCCCAGGGACUGCGGCCAACCAGGCCCUUCUGUCCUUGGAAUUUUCCAGACAAGAAUAUUGGAGUGGGUCUCCAUUUCCUUCUCCAGGGGAUCUUCCGGACCCAGGAAUUGAACCUGCAUCUCAUGCAUUGGCAGGUAGGUUCUUGGCCCCUAAGCCACCUGGGAAGCUUAUGAGCCACACAAGUAGCUUCAAGUAUUCUAGUAGCCACAUUGAAAAAGGAAAAGGGAACAGAUACAGAUGACACCAAUUCUAACGUCUCACGUCAAUAUAUCCAAAAUAUUAUUUCAACAUUAAUCAAUAUAGGAAAGAACUUUUUUAUGCUACGUCUUUGAAAUCUCGUGUGUAUUUCUGUAGCACAUCUCAAUUCAGAUGAUGAAUUUUCAUCAGAAAUACUAGACCUCUAUUUAGAUUUCAUGAAACUUACAUUUGAAGAAGUCGUUUCCUAUACCCACGCUGUCCCAGUGAUGUUGAAUAGUUUUCCAAUAAUGAAGAUGAGAAGCAUUUUCUAAAUUAAUGAGAAGUAAGUUGCAGGUAAACUUUUCCCCCGUUUCACCACAAACAUGGUGAGUAGACACAGCACUGGAGAAAAAAAACAACCUUAGUAUCACCAGGAAUUCUGUCUGCAUUGCCCGAGGGCCAGACAGCCCUUUGACUAUAAGGGUGGCCUUUUGCAAGUGAGUCAGCAAGUGGAAUCUACCCGCAGGGUUGUCCUGAGCAUUCCACGCAGACACGUUUGUACCCUGUUCUCUCUCGUGUACAGUAAUAGGCUUGCAGCCCCUCCUGGAAGCCCUCAAACAUUAGUCUCAUCCCCGUGCCUUUGCUCAGGGUGCCACCUCUCUGACACCAUCUCUGACUUGGCCCUGUCUGACAUCUCUACCCUAUGCUUCUCUGCCCUCCCGCCAAGGGGACUCCUGCCUAAGAUUGAGAAAGCAAGACCCAGUUUUGUUUUCUUGUGUCACUGUCCCUCGUAGAGUGUGCUGAUUGUGUUUAAGUAGUUGUAUUUUGGCACCCUUGGGGGUCAACGACUGUCUUUUGGGAGUGGUUGCCUUUUAAAUCAUGACUUUUAAAGGGAUUGAACUUUAGGCUCUGGAAGCAGUAAGCUGCCAGCGAGGCAUCGGUCUCUGGGCGCAUCCAAACAGAAAAGACUGAAGACUCAAUUGUGGAGGGACAACUGGCUGCCUUCAGGGUGAGCCUACAUGGCAUCUGCAGGCUGGAAGGCCCUUGAAGGCAGAAAUUCUAGGAAACCUUUGAUGAAUCUUGGUGUUGCCAUUGCCAGAAGCAGAGGAGGAACAGAGCCUCAUCAACUUAGAUGAAUUUCCUACUUGUCUGGAUAAUGAUAGACUUGUGUCAUUGAGAUGAGGAACCAUGAAGCCGGGAGACUCAAGGGUGGGUUGACCUGUGUGUGGUGCUUUUUGGAGGAGUGAAUAAAAAAGUAGAAAUUCCAUUGUGUGUGUGUUCAUUGCUGGUUUGAGAGGAGGGGGAAGAUGCUUGGGAUUCUGUCAACUGGAAGCCUAGACCCCUGUGUCUGAUGGAGGAGGGGUCCAACGGUGAGGCCUCCUGGGUCCCUGGAGAGGAGGGAUGGUGGGGAUGUGUGCAGGAUAGAAUUCCCUGGGCUGCAGUCCAGUGACUUUGAGUUUUACCAGUCUGGAGGAGAUGGGGUGGCCUAAUAAUUGUUUAACCUUGGGGGCUGUGAUAGUAAACCUCUUAACUCUAGAACUAGCGUGGCCCAUUAAUGCCCCCAGUCUGUUCAGCAUUUCUGCAGCCAUGGCCUUGGAUAGACCCUUCUGACUUUAGACCUGGUCUUUGGAUCUGCUUGACUACUGGACUCACAGCAAAUGUGAUGCAAGCAGAAGCUUGGCAAGUGCUCAUGGAUUGGGAUGAUCUCUUUUGCUGCCCUGGGGACCCCUGCCACCAUGACCACAUGGGGAAGUGCAGGCUAACCUGCACGGCAAUUAGAUAACAUGUGGCCGAGUCAGCCAGGACACCCCAAUUAGUGUUGGCCCUCUGAAAGAGAGCUGCCUAGCUGACCGGCAGCUGAACCAUCCUCCAGCUGAUCCUAGACCAAAUUGCCAACCCAUGGAAUGAGGUAAAUACAAGACAAUUAUUCUAGAGGCUUCUCUGGUGGUCCAGUGGUUAUGAAUCUGCCUUGCAAUGCAGAGGAUUGAAGUUCAAUCCCUGGGGGGUAACUUAAGUUCCCAGAUGCCACUGUUCAUCUGAUCCUGGGAGCUACAACUAGAGUGUCCAUGUGCCACAAAAGGGAUCUUGCAUGACUCUGCGCUGCCCAUGCAGGGGGCCCGGAUUUGAUCCCUGGUCAAGGAACUAGAUCCUACAUACCACAACUAAGAGUUCACAUGCUACAGCUAAAGGUUUCAAAUACCAUCACUAAAGACUCCACAUGGCAGAGCGAAGACCUGGUACAGCCAAACAAAUUUUCUUUAAAAAGUAAUUAAAUUCGUAAACCAAAUAAAUAAGUUUUCUUUAAAAAAAAAAAGAAUCUGCCUUGCAAUGCAGGAAUUCAAGUUCAAUCCCUAGUUGGGGAACUAAGAUCCCACAUGGCGCAGAGCAACUGAGCCUGUGAGCUGCAACUAAGACCCAAUACAACCAAGUAAAUAAAACUAUAUAAAUAUGUUUAUAUAGGCAAUUACUCUAAGUGAGGUUUGGAGGGGCUUGUUAUAUAGCAAAGGAUGGAU
ensembl:lncRNA